AAAAUAAACCACUUUAAUCAAAGCAUUAGAAUCAGCAAGUGAUGGAAGGAGGACCCCGUUGACAGAGGCAGACUCACAAUGACCCCCGAAAUAUGCAAUCUACAUCUGAUGUAAAAAGCACCACACAACUAGUUCGAAGAGACCUGUCUGCUCAAGUAAAGUCUAACCAUGAACGAGAAGGAGGGUCGAUCGGCUCUGUGCUGAUCAGCUAAACAAGUCAAGUUCUUUUUUUUUUCUUGUGUAAUUUUAUUUAUUUAUUUAUUUUUCUUUUUUGAGGGCAAAGAGAGAAGAGAAUCGUCAUGUUCAGGCAAAACUGUGAACUGAUGGCAGUUUG